rnacentral:rRNA from 1 species
UACGUAGGUGGCAAGCGUUGUCCGGAAUUAUUGGGCGUAAAGGGCUCGUAGGCGGUUUGUCGCGUCGGGAGUGAAAACCUUGGGCUUAACUCAGGGCUUGCUUUCGAUACGGGCAGACUAGAGGUAUGCAGGGGAGAACGGAAUUCCUGGUGUAGCGGUGAAAUGCGCAGAUAUCAGGAGGAACACCGGUGGCGAAGGCGGUUCUCUGGGCAUGAUCUGACGCUGAGGAGCGAAAGUGUGGGGAGCGAACAGG